rnacentral:rRNA from 1 species
UACGGAGGGUGCAAGCGUUAUCCGGAUUCACUGGGUUUAAAGGGAGCGCAGGCGGGCUGGUAAGUCAGUGGUGAAAGCCUUGAGCUUAACUCGAGAACUGCCAUUGAUGCUAUCAGUCUUGAAUAUUGUUGAGGUUUGCGGAAUGGGUCAUGUAGCGGUGAAAUGCAUAGAUAUGACCCGGAACACCUAUUGCGAAGGCAGCAGGCUAAACAAAGAUUGACGCUGAGGGUCGAAAGCGUGGGGAUCAAACAGG